rnacentral:rRNA from 1 species
GACGAACGCUGGCGGCGUGCUUAACACAUGCAAGUCGGACGGUCGGCGCUGGAAGGUUCGCUGGAAGGUGCCGAUAGUGGCGGACGGGUGAGUAACGCGUGAGGACAUGGCUCCAGGAGGGGGGAUAACGUUUGGAAACGGACGCUAAGACCCCAUAAGCCGGGAGGUGAAAAUGGCGCAAGCCAGCCUGGGGAGUGACUCGCGUCCUAUCAGCUGGUUGGUGGGGUGACGGCCCACCAAGGCGAUGACGGGUAGCCGACCUGAGAGGGUGGCCGGCCACACUGGAACUGAGAUACGGUCCAGACUCCUACGGGAGGCAGCAGUGGGGAAUAUUGGGCAAUGGGCGCAAGCCUGACCCAGCGACGCCGCGUGGGGGAAGAAGUCUUUCGGGACGUAAACCUAUGUUGUACGGGACGAAGGAAGUGACGGUACCGUACGAGGAAGCCCCGGCAAACUACGUGCCAGCAGCCGCGAUAAUCAUACUCGUA